UAUUGGACAAUGGGCGCAAGCCUGAUCCAGCCAUGCCGCGUGGGUGAUGAAGGCCCUAGGGUUGUAAAGCUCUUUUGUGCGGGAAGAUAAUGACGGUACCUGAAGAAUAAGCACCGGCUAACUACGUGCCAGCAGCCGCGGUAAUACGUAGGGUGCAAGCGUUAAUCGGAAUUACUGGGCGUAAAGCGUGCGCAGGCGGUUAUACAAGACAGGCGUGAAAUCCCCGGGCUUAACCUGGGAAUGGCGCCUGUGACUGUAUAGCUAGAGUGUGUCAGAGGGUGGUAGAAUUCCACGUGUAGCAGUGAAAUGCGUAGAUAUGUGGAGGAAUACCAAUGGCGAAGGCAGCCCCCAGGGAUAACACUGACGCUCAUGCACGAAA
rnacentral:rRNA from 1 species